CAGUCGCCACGGGAAUACGGAGGGAGCUAGCGUUGUUCGGAAUUACUGGGCGUAAAGCGCGCGUAGGCGGUUACUCAAGUCAGAGGUGAAAGCCCGGGGCUCAACCCCGGAACUGCCUUUGAAACUAGGUGACUAGAAUCUUGGAGAGGUCAGUGGAAUUCCGAGUGUAGAGGUGAAAUUCGUAGAUAUUCGGAAGAACACCAGUGGCGAAGGCGACUGACUGGACAAGUAUUGACGCUGAGGUGCGAAAGCGUGGGGAGCAAACAGGAUUAGAGACCCCAGUAGUCCCUGUCUCUUAUAC
rnacentral:rRNA from 1 species